rnacentral:rRNA from 1 species
AGGGCAUUUGGUGGAUGCCUUGGCAUGCACAGGCGAUGAAGGACGUGAUACGCUGCGAUAAGCGUCGGGGAGGUGCGAAUACCCUUUGAUCCGACGAUUUCCGAAUGGGGCAACCCACCUUAGAUGACUAGAAAAUCAGAUGUGUCGUUUAAGGCAAUAGGGCAAUACGGCAGUAGGGCAGUAUGUAAGAAACAUAUUGCCUUAUUGCCCUACUGACUUACUGCCUUUUGAGAACGGCGCAUGUGGUUUCUAGUCAUCAGAAAUAAGGUAUCUAACUCUGAAUACAUAGGGGUUAGAAGCGAACCUGGGGAACUGAAACAUCUAAGUACCCAGAGGAAAGGACAUCAAACGAGACUCCGCUAGUAGUGGCGAGCGAACGCGGACCAGGCCAGUGGCUUUUGUGAAUGAAGUGGAACGAGUUGGAAAACUUGACCGAAGUGGGUGAUAGUCCCGUACACGUAGAAUAGCAGAAGUCCUUGAGUAGGGCGGGACACGUGAAAUCCUGUCUGAACAUGGGUCGACCACGAUCCAAGCCUAAGUACUCGUGCAUGACCGAUAGCGAACCAGUACCGUGAGGGAAAGGUGAAAAGCACCCCGACGAGGGGAGUGAAACAGUACCUGAAACCGGAUGCCUACAAACAGUUGGAGCCCAAGAUUUGUUCUGGGUGACAGCGUACCUUUUGUAUAAUGGGUCAGCGACUUAGUGUAUCGAGCAAGCUUAAGCCGGUAGGUGUAGGCGCAGCGAAAGCGAGUCUGAACAGGGCGUUCAGUUCGAUGCAUUAGACCCGAAACCAAGUGAUCUAGCCAUGAGCAGGUUGAAGGUACGGUAACACGUACUGGAGGACCGAACCCAUAUCUGUUGCAAUAGAUCGGGAUGACUUGUGGCUAGGGGUGAAAGGCCAAUCAAACUUGGAGAUAGCUGGUUCUCCGCGAAAUCUAUUUAGGUAGAGCGUCGACCGAAUACCCCCGGGGGUAGAGCACUGGAUGGGCUAUGGGGACUCACCGUCUUACUGAUCCUAACCAAACUCCGAAUACCGGGGAGUACUAGUCGGCAGACACACGGCGGGUGCUAACGUCCGUCGUGGAGAGGGCAACAACCCUGACCACCAUCUAAGGUCCCUAAGUUAUGGCUAAGUGGGAAAGGAUGUGAGGAUCCCAAAACAACCAGGAUGUUGGCUUAGAAGCAGCCAUCAUUUAAAGAAAGCGUAACAGCUCACUGGUCUAAAUAAGGGUCUUUGCGCCGAAAAUGUACCGGGGCUCAAGCCAUACACCGAAGCUGUGGAUGCACUUAAUGUGCGUGGUAGCGGAGCGUUCCGUAAGCCUGUGAAGGGACAGUCGUGAGACAUCCUGGAGGUAUCGGAAGUGAGAAUGCUGACAUGAGUAACGAUAAAGGGAGUGAGAGACUCCCUCGCCGAAAGUCCAAGGGUUCCUGCUUAAAGUUAAUCUGAGCAGGGUUAGCCGGCCCCUAAGGCGAGGCCGAAAGGCGUAGUCGAUGGGAACCACGUUAAUAUUCGUGGGCCUGCAGGUAGUGACGGAUCGCGUGUGUUGUACGUUCUUAUUGGAUUGAACGUGCAGCGAAGCGGUUCCAGGAAAUAGCUCCUGCAUAUAGACCGUACCCUAAACCGACACUGGUGGACUGGUAGAGAAUACCAAGGCGCUUGAGAGAACUGCGUUGAAGGAACUCGGCAAAAUGCACGCGUAACUUCGGAAGAAGCGUGACCCUCAUAUGGGCAACCAUGUGGGGGUGGCACAGACCAGGGGGUAGCGACUGUUUACCAAAAACACAGGGCUCUGCGAAGUCGCAAGACGACGUAUAGGGUCUGACGCCUGCCCGGUGCUGGAAGGUUAAGAGGAGAUGUGCAAGCAUUGAAUUGAAGCCCCAGUAAACGGCGGCCGUAACUAUAACGGUCCUAAGGUAGCGAAAUUCCUUGUCGGGUAAGUUCCGACCUGCACGAAUGGCGUAACGACUUCCCCGCUGUCUCCAACGCAGACUCAGUGAAAUUGAAUUCCCCGUGAAGAUGCGGGGUUCCUGCGGUUAGACGGAAAGACCCCGUGCACCUUUACUAUAGCUUUACACUGGCAUUCGUGUCGGCAUGUGUAGGAUAGGUGGUAGACUUUGAAGCAGUGGCGCCAGCCAUUGUGGAGUCAUCCUUGAAAUACCACCCUUGCCUAUAUGGAUGUCUAACUGCGGCCCGUUAUCCGGGUCCAGGACCGUGUAUGGUGGGUAGUUUGACUGGGGCGGUCGCCUCCUAAAGAGUAACGGAGGCGCGCGAUGGUAGGCUCAGAACGGUCGGAAAUCGUUCGUCGAGUGCAAUGGCAUAAGCCUGCCUGACUGCAAGACUGACAAGUCGAGCAGAGACGAAAGUCGGUCAUAGUGAUCCGGUGGUCCCGCGUGGAAGGGCCAUCGCUCAACGGAUAAAAGGUACGCCGGGGAUAACAGGCUGAUGACCCCCAAGAGUCCAUAUCGACGGGGUUGUUUGGCACCUCGAUGUCGACUCAUCGCAUCCUGGGGCUGGAGCAGGUCCCAAGGGUAUGGCUGUUCGCCAUUUAAAGCGGUACGUGAGUUGGGUUCAGAACGUCGUGAGACAGUUCGGUCCCUAUCUGCCGUGGGUGUAGGAAUAUUGACAGGAUCUGUCCCUAGUACGAGAGGACCGGGAUGGACGUAUCUCUGGUGGACCUGUUGUCGUGCCAACGGCAUAGCAGGGUAGCUAUAUACGGACGGGAUAACCGCUGAAGGCAUCUAAGCGGGAAACCCACCUGAAAACGAGUAUUCCCUAUCAGAGCCGUGGAAGACCACCACGUUGA